GAUGAACGCUGGCGGCGUGCUUAACACAUGCAAGUCGAACGGUGAAAGCGGAGCUUGCUCUGCUGGAUCAGUGGCGAACGGGUGAGUAACACGUGAGCAAUCUGCCCCUGACUCUGGGAUAAGCGCUGGAAACGGCGUCUACUACCGGAUACGAGCUGCGAAGGCAUCUUCAGCAGCUGGAACUAACUUCGGUCAGGGAGGAGCUCGCGGCCUAUCAGCUUGUUGGUGAGGUAACGGCUCACCAAGGCGUCGACGGGUAGCCGGCCUGAGAGGGUGACCGGCCACACUGGGACUGAGACACGGUCCAGACUCCGACGGGAGGCAGCAGUGGGGAAUAUUGCACAAUGGGCGCAAGCCUGAUGCAGCAACGCCGCGUGAGGGACGGCGGCCCUCGGGUUGUAAACCUCUUUUAGCAGGGAAGAAGCGAAAGUGACGGUACCUGCAGAAAAAGCACCGGCUAACUACGUGCCAGCAGCCGCCGUAACAC
rnacentral:rRNA from 1 species